UACAGAGGGGGCAAGCGUUGUUCGGAAUUACUGGGCGUAAAGGGCGCGUAGGCGGCCCGCUAAGUCGAACGUGAAAUCCCCGGGCUCAACCCGGGAACUGCGUCCGAUACUGGCAGGCUUGAAUCCGGGAGAGGGAUGUGGAAUUCCAGGUGUAGCGGUGAAAUUCGUAGAUAUUCGGAGGAACACCAGUGGCGAAGGCGGCUCACUGGUCCGGUACUGACGCUGAGGUGCGAAAGCGUGGGGAGCAAACAGG
rnacentral:rRNA from 1 species